GCGCGGUUGGACGGAGCCUUUGGGGCCGAUGGGGUCUUCGCCCACGACCGGCGGCGCUUCGUGGACUUCGUGGAGGAGGUGGAGGAGAUGCUGGAGGACGUGGUGCGGCGCGAGGGCGGCGAUGAGGAGGCGGCCGAUGGCUUCGAGGAGUUCGUGCUGCAGCACUAUGCUGGCUCUGUUGGGAAGGAGCGUGGCCGCAAAUCCUGGAGGCAGCACGGAGGUGGCAGAUAGAGCCAUGGGGGGGUCCCUACUGACCCCCUCCCCCCCCACCACCACCACGAUGGGCUGUGUUUUGGGGGUCUAGGGGCUGCAAUGUGUGCCCCUCCCCCACUCUCCCCGAUUGAUGCACUGUGUGAUGCUGCUGCACUGCUGUAGAUGCAAUAAAGUCACUGCUGGGCUGA